UACGAAGGGGGCUAGCGUUGUUCGGAUUUACUGGGCGUAAAGCGCACGUAGGCGGAUCGUUAAGUCGGUGGUGAAAUCCUGGAGCUCAACUCCAGAACUGCCUUCGAGACUGAGAGUCUCGAGUCCGGGAGAGGUGAGUGGAACUGCGAGUGUAGAGGUGAAAUUCGUAGAUAUUCGCAAGAACACCAGUGGCGAAGGCGGCUCACUGGCCCGGUACUGACGCUGAGGUGCGAAAAGCGUGGGGGAGCAAACAGG
rnacentral:rRNA from 1 species